GGCUAGAUGGCCGAGCGGUUAUGGCGUGUGACUCAAGAUAGUAUCUUGCCCACUUCAAGGUGUGGUUUCUCAUGGGGCAACCCGCGGGGGUUCGAAUCCCCCUCUAGUCA
rfam:Blumeria graminis f. sp. hordei DH14, WGS project CATH01000000 data, contig: 000440